CUAGCGCAACAGCAUAAAGGCGGGAGGUCAGUCAUGUUUUUCGAUAACGUGGUCAUUGCCGGGGUACUGACGGUGAGCCUCAUGGUGAUGUUCCUCGCAGGGUUCGGUUUUUUUAUCUGGAAAGACUCACAUAAGCGCAAAGCGCCCUAGGUUUUUCCAGGGGACGAGCACGCAAGGCAUUUUGGGCGACUUCGGUCGCCUUUUUUUUAC
rnacentral:sRNA from 1 species